rnacentral:snRNA from 1 species
GCAAGUGCUUGCUUCUACUAAAAUCAGAACAACACAGAAGAUCAGCAUGGCCCCUGUGCAAGGACGACAUGCAAAUUGAUGAAGCAUUCCAUAUUUAU